rnacentral:rRNA from 1 species
GGGUGAGUAACGCGUAGGUGACCUGGCCUUUAGAGUGGGAUAACCCUAAGAAAUUGGGGCUAAUACCGCGUAAGCUCGACAAAUCUGAAAGUAGUCAAGGAAAGAAUGCCUCUGCUUGCAAGCAUUCGCUGAAGGAUGGGCCUGCGUAGCAUUAGCUAGAUGGUAAGGUAAUGGCUUACCAUGGCUUCGAUGCUUAGCUGGUCUGAGAGGAUGAUCAGCCACACUGGAACUGAGACACGGUCCAGACUCC